AGAAACCUUUUUGUGAAGCUUGAAUGCAGAAUACUUUAUUGAUCACUAAAGAAUUUGCACUGACAUACUAUUUCCCCAUGACAUUUGAACCACCAAUUUCCUAGCUCAUGGUGCCAAACCAGAGCAGCAGAAGCAGACAGUGUGAAACUCAGUGAUGCUACUGCCAUCUCCAGCUGUCUUCCUCUCAUGCUCCCCCACAUGCAGCUAGCUUGGAUAGUGGUCAAACCACUGCAACAUUCCCAUGCAACUAAGGCCUUAAAAAGGAUUUUAAAGAUAAAUAUCUCAGUUAAAUACUUAAGCUGCAGCCUGAACCCUAUUGAAGUCAUUGAGACAGGAGAGCAUGCUGCCAGUAAGAUACACUCUGAAGUGUCUUUGUGA
rnacentral:lncRNA from 1 species